UAAAAAGCAGAUUUGCACAUUACAGAAAAAUCAGAGCAAAGCCAACCAGGAUGAGCUGGAAAUGAUUUUCUGAAAGCUUCAUUGUGGACAAGUUUUGUAGAUUUUGCAUGGCAUCCAGGACUGAUGCACAACACAAAGAGAUGGCCUCUCAAGAAAUCAUGAUUUUGCGCGUUAUUCUCACAGAAGCUGAUAUCAGAAAAGUCACACUGACUUCAAAGCCAUGUUCAGUUGAAGAUUUGAUCAACUGUCUCAGAAACACUCUUGGACUGAACUAUAAUUUUACAUUGCAGUUUCGAGAUCCUUUCUUUGAUCAUGAAUUUUGCAAUGUAACUGCUUUGGAAGAGCUCCCUGAGAAGCCAACAGUAAAAAUUAUCCCAGUGCUUGAAUUGGUGUCAGUGGCAGAAGAUGAAAUGCAGUCAUCAAGUGAAAUAUCGAGUAAUGCUCCAAGUACUGCAGAUACAGUACUGAUUUCUGAAUCACCCCAGAAAAAGAAAAUGCCAUGGCCUGAUAUCUUCUUGAUUCCGAAAUUUUCGGUCGACGUUGAAUACAGGCUGCGUCA